UAUAGCAAAGAGGAUACACCUGUUCCCAUUCCGAACACAGAAGUUAAGCUCUUUAGCGCCGAUGGUACUUGGUGGGAAGCUGCCUGGGAGAGUAGGACGUAGCUACGUA
rnacentral:rRNA from 1 species